rnacentral:rRNA from 1 species
UACGAAGGGUGCAAACGUUGCUCGGAAUCAUUGGGCGUAAAGCGCACGUAGCGGCCCCAAAAGUUGGAUGUGAAAUCCCUCGGCUCACCGAGGACGUGCAAUCCAAAACUGUGGGGCUUGAGUACUGAAGAGGAUCGCGGAAUCCCGGUGUAGAGGUGGAAAUUCGUAUGAUAUUCGGGAGGAACACCAGUGGCGAAGGCGGCGAUCUGGGCAGAUACUGACGCUGAGGUGCG